GGGCCCGCACAAGCGGUGGAGCAUGUGGUUUAAUUCGAUGAUACGCGAGGAACCUUACCAGGGCUUAAAUGCAGAACGACAGAGGUGGAAACACCUCCUUCUUCGGACGGUCUGCAAGGUGCUGCAUGGUUGUCGUCAGCUCGUGCUGUGAAGUGUCGGGUUAAGUCCCAUAACGAGCGCAACCCCUAUUUCUAGUUGCCAGCGGUUCGGCCGGGGACUCUAGAGAAACUGCCAGCGUAAGCUGUGAGGAAGGUGGGGAUGACGUCAAAUCAUCACGGCCCUUACGUCCUGGGCUACACACGUGCUACAAUGGUAGGGACAGAGAGUUGCCAACCCGUGAGGGUGAGCUAAUCUUCAAACCCUAUCUCAGUUCGGAUUGUACUCUGCAACUCGAGUACAUGAAGGUGGAAUCGCUAGUAA
rnacentral:rRNA from 1 species